UGGAGAUAAACUCUGCAGAGAUGAGCUCCAGUCUCAAUCCUGUACUGCUGAAGCAGCUGAUCGAGGUCUUCAGGAUCACCACACACUUCAGACAGGUGUGUGGACAGACUGGAGAUAAACUCUGCAGAGUUAAGCUCCAGUCUCAAUCCUGUGCUGCUGAAGCAGCUGAUCGAGGUCUUCAGGAUCACCACACACUUCAGACAGGUGUGUGGACAGACUGGAGAUAAACUCUGCAGAGAUGAGCUCCAGUCUCAAUCCUGUACUGCUGAAGCAGCUGAUCGAGGUCUUCAGGAUCACCACACACUUCAGACAGGUGUGUGGACAGACUGGAGAUAAACUCUGCAGAGUUAAGCUCCAGUCUCAAUCCUGUGCUGCUGAAGCAGCUGAUCGAGG